CACGUAGGGCGCAAGCGUUGUCCGGAAUUAUUGGGCGUAAAGAGCUCGUAGGCGGUCUGUUGCGUCCGCUGUGAAAACCCGGGGCUUAACCCUGGGCUGGCAGUGGAUACGGACAGACUAGAGGUAGGUAGGGGAGAAUGGAAUUCCCGGUGUAGCGGUGAAAUGCGCAGAUAUCGGGAGGAACACCGGUGGCGAAGGCGGUUCUCUGGGCCUUACCUGACGCUGAGGAGCGAAAGCGGGGGAGCGAACAGG
rnacentral:rRNA from 1 species